GUCAGGAUGGAAAAGCAAAGGCGCUGCACUCAGGUUGCAGACUCCCUGGGAGGCGUGGGUUUGAAUCCCACUCCUGACA
rnacentral:tRNA from 1 species